rnacentral:rRNA from 1 species
GAAGACCAAGGGUUCCUGUCCAACGUUAAUCGGGGCAGGGUGAGUCGACCCCUAAGGCGAGGCCGAAAGGCGUAGUCGAUGGGAAACGGGUUAAUAUUCCCGUACUUGGUGUUACUGCGAAGGGGGGACGGAGAAGGCUAUGUUGGCCGGGCGACGGUUGUCCCGGUUUAAGCGUGUAGGUGUGUGUUCCAGGUAAAUCCGGUUCACUUUAACACUGAGGCGUGACGACGAGGCACUACGGUGCUGAAGCAACAAAUGCCCUGCUUCCAGGAAAAGCCUCUAAGCAUCAGGUAACACGAAAUCGUACCCCAAACCGACACAGGUGGUCAGGUAGAGAAUACCAAGGCGCUUGAGAGAACUCGGGUGAAGGAACUAGGCAAAAUGGUGCCGUAACUUCGGGAGAAGGCACGCUGACACGUAGGUGAAGUGAUUUACUCAUGGAGCUGAAGUCAGUCGAAGAUACCAGCUGGCUGCAACUGUUUAUUAAAAACACAGCACUGUGCAAACACGAAAGUGGACGUAUACGGUGUGACGCCUGCCCGGUGCCGGAAGGUUAAUUGAUGGGGUCAGCGCAAGCGAAGCUCCUGAUCGAAGCCCCGGUAAACGGCGGCCGUAACUAUAACGGUCCUAAGGUAGCGAAAUUCCUUGUCGGGUAAGUUCCGACCUGCACGAAUGGCGUAAUGAUGGCCAGGCUGUCUCCACCCGAGACUCAGUGAAAUUGAACUCGCUGUGAAGAUGCAGUGUACCCGCGGCAAGACGGAAAGACCCCGUGAACCUUUACUAUAGCUUGACACUGAACAUUGAGCCUUGAUGUGUAGGAUAGGUGGGAGGCUUUGAAGUGUGGACGCCAGUCUGCAUGGAGCCGACCUUGAAAUACCACCCUUUAAUGUUU